rnacentral:rRNA from 1 species
ACCCUUUAAUGUUUGAUGUUCUAACGUGGACCCGUGAUCCGGGUUGCGGACAGUGUCUGGUGGGUAGUUUGACUGGGGCGGUCUCCUCCUAAAGAGUAACGGAGGAGCACGAAGGUUGGCUAAUCCUGGUCGGACAUCAGGAGGUUAGUGCAAUGGCAUAAGCCAGCUUGACUGCGAGCGUGACGGCGCGAGCAGGUGCGAAAGCAGGUCAUAGUGAUCCGGUGGUUCUGAAUGGAAGGGCCAUCGCUCAACGGAUAAAAGGUACUCCGGGGAUAACAGGCUGAUACCGCCCAAGAGUUCAUAUCGACGGCGGUGUUUGGCACCUCGAUGUCGGCUCAUCACAUCCUGGGGCUGAAGUAGGUCCCAAGGGUAUGGCUGUUCGCCAUUUAAAGUGGUACGCGAGCUGGGUUUAGAACGUCGUGAGACAGUUCGGUCCCUAUCUGCCGUGGGCGCUGGAGAACUGAGGGGGGCUGCUCCUAGUACGAGAGGACCGGAGUGGACGCAUCACUGGUGUUCGGGUUGUCAUGCCAAUGGCACUGCCCGGUAGCUAAAUGCGGAAGAGAUAAGUGCUGAAAGCAUCUAAGCACGAAACUUGCCCCGAGAUGAG